UCUUGUUCUUCCAAAGGAAUCCCAUUUUUCCUUCCAUAGGAUUUCCUAACCCUCAAUCCCUUGCCUUUCCGUUUUGAUUUCACGCCCCGCUAGGCAUCCUCCUACCAGAGCGUCUUAUUUCCUCACUUUCCGUUCCCCAUAGGCCUUUAUUUAACGUUAGUUGAAAAGUUAGGGGAAAUAUAGUAUGUGAAACGUAUAGUAUAGCUCUGUGGAGGUAAGGGCCGUGCUGUGCUAGAUGCCGGUGCCUCUCGCCGCUCCUGCCCUCGUGCCGUGGAUCGUCUCGUUGAUAAUCUUCACGACAGUUGAAGAACUACCUUUCUGGUUCAUUUUCCCUAAUGUUGGCUGAACUUUGAGUGCCUCUCCUUAGUUUCGUGUCUUGUAGAGUCUAUCUCAACGCAGGGGAAAUGGUGUGGAAAGCAAUUAUUGUCAUGCCAAGACUGUGUAGAAAAGAGACUGUGUAAUAAUGCCAGUCUGGUAUUUUUCCUCGUUUUGACAGUGAUGUUGUUUUUUUCAACCUUGUAUUAUGGAGAAUUUCAGACACACACAAGUAGGUAGAAUAGUGAACCAGCGUGUACCCAUCGUCCAGCCUCAACAACUCACCUUAAGGCUAAGCCUGUCCCAUCCACAUCUCUAUCUGGUUCCCCCUUCUCCAUAUCUCUGGGGUAAAUCCUUGUCAAAAGUAGCUUGAGAUUUGAAAUAAAAAUCUUACUAUCGCUUAAAGUCAUCAGGUACUUUUAUUGGGACACAGUCUACUGUUAUAAGUCCUUCAACUAAUAAACACCUAGUAGCAUUGGAGAAGGACCAGAAAAGGUAUCUAAAAUGAUUGAGCUGCUGGAGGACAGGUUAGAACAAAACGUAUUUCAGAUCUGGAUGAGAACUUCGAGAUCAUCUGGUCUAACUUUUUCAUUUUUGAUGAACCCUCAAGGUCCAGACAGGUUCAGUGACUCGUCCAGGUCUACAGAGAAUAAGAGGCUGAACUGAGGCUGGACCCGCCGUCUCCCACCAGUCUCUCUGCUCUGCCGUACCGCUUGCCUUGAGGUUGUUUCCUUCAGGAAAGAGAACUUUGGCAGCAUGUGAGCAACGUCUUGCCAAGAACCCAGGUCACCACUGAGAAGGGAGCCUUAGGGAGAAUAUCCAGAGGAAACCAAUGCCAGACGCAUCUGGAAUUACAGUCACCACGGCAGCAUGAGACAUUCUGUGCCAGCAUCUGUGUCCUGCUGGCAAAGACUGUAGCUCUCCAGGCAGGAGGGUCCUGGAAGCAGCAAGCGCCAGGAGCCUCUAGAGAAAGAAUGGGGACAGAUAUGAACUCUCUACAAUGAACACAUUUUCAGCUUAUGAAGGAAUUUUGAGUAAAACAGUUAUUUGAUUUCCACAUAUUGAAGUUCAGUAGCCUUCUGUGUGAAGUGCCAGCAGUCGCCCCUUCACGGGAGUUAUUGGGAUUUUUCUGGCACCAAGUUGAACUCUUCUUCAUACUUCUGGCAGUGACAGAUCUUCAGGACAGAUUUAUCUGCUAAAUGCUUUUGGGCAGGAAAAAAAGUAAAACUUCUGGAAGCAGUGUAAGGGUAGCAGGGCAGAGAUCCCUCCUUCACGGCUCACUUUGACAGAAACUCGGCCCGGACUCAGGUGCUUGUAUUGGCAAUUGAUUCUGCCUCGUUCACCUCCAAGUCCAUCUGUUCUGGAGAGAUCUGGCGUUUUUGGGCUGCCUCCUGUGGCCCUUCUUACUGUCCUUCUACUCGCAAGCUUUCUAUUCAGGCAGUCAAAUGGUGUGAACUUUGGAAUGGAGUUUGUUAUCCUCUGGGGACUUGCUCCCUUUCGCGGGCUGCUGCUGUCUGAGAGGACUGUCUGAAGGCCGUGGUCUGUUCUUGGGGAGGAGGGCACUGGCCUUGCCUGGAUCCUCCAUCAUGUUCCUGUUGCUGCCUUUUGAUAGCCUGAUUGUCAACCUUCUGGGCAUCUCCUUGACUGUCCUCUUCACCCUCCUUCUCGUUUUCAUCAUAGUCCCUGCCAUUUUUGGAGUCUCCUUUGGUAUCCGCAAGCUCUACAUGAAAACUUUGUUAAAAAUCUUUGCGUGGGCUACUUUGAGAAUGGAGAGGGGAGCCAAGGAGAAGAACCAUCAGCUUUACAAGCCCUAUACCAAUGGAAUCAUUGCAAAAGAUCCCACUUCACUAGAAGAAGAGAUCAAAGAAAUUCGUCGAAGUGGUAGUAGUAAGGCUCUGGAUAAUACUCCAGAGUUUGAGCUCUCCGACAUUUUCUACUUUUGCCGGAAAGGAAUGGAGACCAUUAUGGAUGAUGAGGUGACGAAGAGGUUCUCAGCAGAGGAGCUGGAGUCCUGGAACCUGCUGAGCAGAACCAAUUACAACUUCCAGUAUAUCAGCCUCCGGCUCACUGUGUUAUGGGGGUUAGGAGUGCUGAUUCGGUAUUGCUUCCUUCUGCCACUCAGGAUAGCUCUUGCUUUCACGGGGAUUAGCCUUCUGGUGGUGGGCACAACCAUGGUGGGAUACUUGCCACAUGGGAGGUUUAAGGAGUUCCUGAGUAAACAUGUUCACUUAAUGUGCUAUCGGAUCUGCGUGCGAGCCCUGACAGCCAUCAUUACCUACCACGACAGGAAAAACAGGCCUAGAAACGGUGGCAUCUGUGUGGCCAAUCACACCUCUCCUAUUGACGUCAUCAUUUUGGCUAGUGAUGGCUAUUAUGCCAUGGUGGGUCAAGUGCACGGGGGACUCAUGGGUGUGAUUCAGAGAGCCAUGGUGAAGGCCUGCCCUCACGUCUGGUUUGAGCGUUCAGAAGUGAAGGAUCGCCACCUGGUGGCUAAAAGACUGACUGAGCACGUGCAGGAUAAAAGCAAGCUGCCCAUCCUCAUCUUCCCAGAGGGAACCUGCAUCAAUAAUACAUCGGUGAUGAUGUUCAAAAAGGGAAGUUUUGAAAUUGGAGCCACAGUUUACCCUGUUGCUAUCAAGUAUGACCCUCAGUUCGGUGAUGCCUUCUGGAACAGCAGCAAAUAUGGGAUGGUUACGUACCUGCUGAGAAUGAUGACCAGCUGGGCCAUUGUCUGCAGCGUUUGGUACCUGCCUCCCAUGACCAGAGAGACAGAUGAAGGUGCCGUCCAGUUUGCAAAUAGGGUGAAAUCUGCCAUUGCCAGGCAGGGAGGACUCGUGGACCUGCUGUGGGAUGGUGGUCUGAAGAGGGAGAAGGUGAAGGAUACAUUCAAAGAGGAGCAGCAGAAGCUGUACAGCAAGAUGAUUGUUGGGAACCAUGAGGACAGGAGCCGGUCCUGAGCCCGCGCCUUGCGCUGCCUGGAGCCGCCAUGCCUGAAUCCUGAUGCGGGAGCCCGCCCGAGUGUUGCCGCCGCCCCCACCGCUGCAUCCUUUCCAGGCGCCAGGGCUCUUCGGGCUGCUCUGGAUCCCAGGACUCCAGCUUCUUCAGAGCCGCCCCGGGGUCCCUGGGCUUGCCAUCUGAAGUGAACCAUGCUGGGUGUUGCUGCCUGGGACGAGAUGCCUUCUUGUUUCUUUUACAAUAAGUCCGUUGGUGGAAUGCCAUUAAAGUCAGCUCUCCACCUGUGCAUGUGCAGGGCUGAGUGUUUGGGAAAAAUUGGCCCCAUUCUCCUAUCCAGGACAUUAUGAUGUUAGUCUCUUAUGGAUGUCCACCUGCCAGGGACUUGGCUGGGGAGAGGGUGCCCCCACCCUUGAGGAGAGGCACUGCCAAGGCAGUGUGGUCACUUCAGGCUAAACAUCACCCCAGCCUUGGAGCUCUGCAGACUUUAUAAAAGGAAAACUUGUCUGCAGGGGCUUUCAGCAAAAUGAAGUUUUAAAUUCUUUGCUGCUGCCCAUGGGCGGUCCCUGACGGGGAUGGGAAGAGGUGAGGUGGACCAGGGAUUGGUGUGUAGUGGGAACCAAGAGUCAUUUUGCACUCAAACUCCAAUGCUCUCCCUGAACUCCCAUGGGUGACUUGCUCUCUGUUAACAUGUGCCUCAGUUUCCCCGUCUCUAACCUGGCUGGGAAGGGAAGGGUGGUGAGACCUACCUCACAGGGCUGUUGUGGGGAUGGAAGUGCUGCUGUCAGUGAGGGGCCGGCCAAGCUCAGUGUUACCGGUUCAGAUCCAUGAAGGCGGCAGGACAAGGUCUGAGCUCAGAGCUGCUGCUCAGGGCUUGGGGUUGGUUUUGUGAGUAAAUAAAAUUGUCUUUGAUGGUGAAUGAAUUGAGAGGUUUCUCCCUUCACUCUUUCUCCCCUAGAUGUAGCCGUAAGCCACAUGUUUCAUAUCACAGUCACAGUUCUCUGACUUGAACCUCAGCCCGGGACUGUAGGGAAUCUGCUUGACUUCUGGAACAAGGACUAGUGUUGUUGGGAAGACAGUAAACGACUCAUGUCAGAUGUUUGCAUCUCGCUGAUGAAUUUACAAUUCCCAGCACAGACCGAGAUGUGGAUUUCUGCGCAGAUCGGGCACCAUUGGUUGAGUUUGGGGAGAGUGGAAGGUGGCAGGGGCAGCCUGUGUGUAAGGACAAUGGGAAGCAGUGAGGAAAUACAAGGGCAGGGAGGAGCAGAGGUUCCUGAAGGGUUGGUGAGGGUGGUGAGAUGGGCAGGUAGGUGUUGGGUGCACCAUGGGCUUCCAUACAGCCAGAGGGAAACCGUGGGCCUCGGGUCUUCCUGCGCCCACCAUGAAGGCAGAGCCCAGCCAUCCUCGCCGGUUCUUGCUUUGAGGGCCCAAUUUCAAAUCUCACAGCAGAGAGAGCGGCCUCACCCCCACCGUUUGUUGAUCUCUCUGUCCCUCCCCUCUCCCUCCCUUGUCUCCGGUGUGAGAAAGGUCACGAGACCUCUCAGGACUUUGCUCGAGCCGUGGUGAGUGUCACCUCUCCGAGGCUGCCCUCUGGCCUGGGUUUGGGGAUGUGGGGGAGUGGAGCCCUGCUCCGGAGGCUGCUGGGCUGGUGGCACCUUCCUGCCUGACCUUAGUCUGGCUCCCACCCCGCGGCCCUCCUGUGCCUCUGCCUCCCUGAAGAGCCGCCCAGCUCCUCCUCCUACCCUGUUGCUAACCAGGGAAACAUUCUUUUUUCUCUCAAAUAAAAACACUAUUAUAACUGUAAGAACAGCCUCUUAUGAACUAAAUGUUUUACUAAAUGUUCAAGAGUAAACAGUGGUUUUCAGCUUACAGAAAGUGUUACAGUGUUUAAAAUUAUCUGGAAUGGUCUUUAAAAAUUGGUCUUGAAGAUCAAGUUCCCUUUUUAAAAGUUCCCUUUAAAACAAGCUGCUGUUUAGUACAUUUAUUUCAUGAUUUUCACAGGUAUUUUUUGUUUGGUGAGGAAGACCAGUCCUGAGCUAACAUCCGUUGCCAAUCCUCUUUUAGCUGAGGAAGACGGCCCUGGGUUAACAUCCGUGUCCAUCUUCCUCUACUUUAUAUGGGACGCCACAGCAUGGCUUGACAAAUGGUGCGUCAGUGCGCACCCGGGAUCCGAACCUGCAAACCCCAGCCCGCUGAAGUGGAGCACGCGCACUUAACCACUACGCCACUGGGCCGACCCCCUUCACAGCUGGUUAGAGAAGAAACUUUCUAAAAAGGCUAGUAAAAUUCCCCACCAAGAAGCUCAAUAGAAGGCUGUCAGCCAGGCCAGAGCUCAGCAAGCUAAGCUCGAUGGCGCAGUAUGAGAUGACGUCCUUGUGACGUGCUUAACCAGCUGUGGAACUGGAUUCUGCACUCUGUCAGCCCCCACACCCUGUUGCUGCCCUUCAGACAUUAAGAGAGGCUUGAUGUGCAGUGGUGGGGAGUGCUCUGUGGGGCACUGAAUGCCCAUGCCAGGCCAGUGACGAGUCUUUGGGUACCACCCUGUUUUAGCCCUUCACAGCAGCACCCUGCCGAUGGGUGGGCACUAAGUCUGUUGUCCUGCAGAAGUUUUCUGGGACUACAUCCUACCAUUUCCUUCCUGCAAUUGACCAAAAACUCAGUUGUCUGGGGAACAGUGCUUCCCGCUGUGCCCUGAUGCAUGAGCGAGUCACCUGUGUCCUGGGGCCCAUCUGCCUGCUGUGUGUCUUGGGUGGCCAGACGCGAUUUCGCCAGCCGCACUUGCCAUGUGUGGCCUGGGACGUCCAGGCUGGCCGGGAAGUUGCACGCACGCUGACUCCUGGGCAGGUUCAGAGAUGGCCACCCCGCCAUCCGUCUUCCACUGCACUGCCACCCUGUCUCCCCCAGUCAAUAUGUCUCUCUCCGAUGGGAAAGUUAAUAAAUUUUGCUCUAGAUUAAAAGUAUUGAUCAUUUCAUUUGUAAACGAUAAAUAAAAAGGGGGAACUUUUCAUCGCACCAGGAGUAGCGCCUAGUGUAUUUUGCUGGUGAAAUUGCGCCAGCUCUCUGGGGUGGGCUUCUCAUAUGCAUUCUGGCCGGCGGGCAGCAUUGAUUUCCUAUUAGUCUCCCUGCACCACCCAGUAACACAUCAUUUCAGUACCUGCUAUUAAUGCUCUUUUGAUAAAUAAUCACUUGUAAGUCAAUAAAUUUUUAUUAAACA